UUACGUAUUUGCCCGAGCUUAAAUACGGUGCUACUGACAGCUGUCACCUUCUCUUUUCCCUACCUCGAACUAACCCAAAAGUACAAACGACGUUUGAACACUAAAUCGCUUAAAAUGUGCAUUAAAUAACAGAACGAAGGAGUUGCCGCGACGGCAAGAGGGGCGGGCGCCGCGUCCCUUGUGUACCAGAAGGAGACGCCUGCAAGCAUUGUGGCCUUAAAGACAUGCCAUUAAACGCUUGCAAUAAUUGUAGUGUGUCGGGACGUGUGCGUGUCCGCUAUGUUGACGUUACAUUGCUGGUGUACCCUUUGCAACUUUUGCACAGUUUUUUCCCCCCCUGCGGCCUACAAGCUCCCAUCGCCAACUUAACAGCCGAGCACCUCCUUGCACCAUUUCCGCGUUGAAUAGCGACUCGUCGAAUAAACACACCAAAGCAAAUACCGAUGUUGUCUUUAAAGUCAUCAGGCAAUAAUGGCGGCGUUUAGGCGCUUAUGUUGCAGAAUAGCCGGCUUAAUAAGUGGAGUGGGGUGCGCGACGUGUCUGAAUAGACGACACACACACAAAAAACACACAACUUACCGAGUGCCACUUCGCAGGCUUUGCGCAGUUGGGAGUGGUGGGCUUUUUUCACCUCCUUGUCCGCCAAAAUCUUCUCCAAAGCUCUGGCCGGAGGGAGAGGAGAGGGCUCCAAAAAUGAUGUAGUUUCCCCCUCGGCGAUGUCAGGCCACACCAAGAAAAAAACAAACGCACAAAAAGGUGGGCUCAAUCCCGUCCGACGGACAUCAACGACCUGCCUCCUGCGCCAUGUUGGAGAGGAAGCGACGUCACGCACGUCGGCGAGCGGCCGCAGUGAGGAAGCAGGGAGAUGCUGCUGCUGCUGCUGCUCGGAGAGGGGCGCCGGAAGUUGGCAGACCCGUCAGCGAUCCUGUUCUGUCUCCCUGUAAUGUUUGUCUCAUCUUUAAUGGGAUUGUGCUGAAAAGUUUGAUUUCCCCUCUGGGAUUAAUAAAGUAUGUCUUAUUCUGA